GUGAGAGAACACAUUUUUAUUGUUUAAGCGACCAGGGUGGUGGUAAUUUGGUACUGUAGCCCCAAGAGACAAAUAGAGUCUAUUGGUCGUGGGUUCUGGCUUCAAAUGUUACUUCUGAGUGGUCCCAGACAUAGUUUGUUCUGAACCUCUGUUUCUUCAUUUAUAAAAAUGAUAACAUAGGUAUAAGGUGUCUAGUGCAGUGUUUGUCACCCAGUAAUACUUCCUGAAAUGUUGGUUUUGUGGGGAAAAAAACAACUUGGUGGUUGAAGUUGCCAUCAGUAUAUCCACAGAGUGAGGUUCUCUUCUCAGAGAUACUCUGUUUUACACUGCCGAUCUGAAAUGAAAUUGCAGCCUUCCAUAAUGAGCAAGUGAGGCUCAGAGGCAGAAUGGAUUGAGCUUCACCAAUACCUGUCACCGGCAGUCACGGACCCUUUGAAACGACAAAUGGCAGAGCCUCUAAUAAAAGGCCAGCUGGGACUACACACCGGGAGGGUUAAGCAACCACAGGAUUAAUUGAAACUCUGCUGCCAUUGCUCUGGUCAAGAUGGUACUUGGACCCUGGCUGUUCCCAGUCACAACAUCUGCUCAGUGGUUUCAAAUUACUUGUGGACGCCAACCAUGACUGACAAGAGAAAAUUUUAAAUGUUCUAAUCAAAGACCUCUUCUUACUCCUAUUAAUAUCACAAGUUGUAGCCUUCUUUCCCCUUGCCCACUACAGGCCAGCAGAUAUAGAAAGUUCCAGAACAGGUGAAAUUGAUUAGAAUGCAAGGUGAUUUUGGAAUGAAAACUAGACUCAUGGCAAUUUCAGAAGUUACAUG
ensembl:lncRNA